rnacentral:sRNA from 1 species
GAGAGCGGGAAGCCGAGCUGGGCGAGAAGUCGGGGAGGGCGGUGCCCCGCCGCGGUGGCGGUUGCUAUCGCUUCGCAGAACCUACUCAGGCAGCCAGCUGAGAAGAGUUGAGGGAAAGUGCUGCUGCUGGGUCUGCAGACGCGAUGGAUAACCUGCAGCCGAAAAUAAAACAUCGCCCCUUCUGCUUCAGUGUGAAAGGCCACGUGAAGAUGCUGCGGCUGGCACUAACUGUGACAUCUAUGACCUUUUUUAUCGUCGCACAAGCCCCUGAACCAUAUAUUGUUAUCACUGGAUUUGAAGUCACCGUUAUCUUAUUUUUCAUACUUUUAUAUAUAUUCAGACUUGAUCGAUUAAUGAAGUGGUUAUUUUGGCCUUUGCUUGUAAGUGUUCAGUUUCAUCCUUAAAUUUUACUUUUUCCUACCAUAGUGAGAUAUUCUAAUGAACUCUGUUUUUUGCUUCUCUUAAACCUUUAAGGUAAUCUCUGUUAGGCUUAGGAAGGAGGAGCUCUACCCAUUGCUAAUGUGCCCUGUAUUGCUUUGGGAGAGGGU